CCCUUAGAUGUUCUGGGCCGCACGCGCGCUACACUGAUUCAUGCAACAAGUUUUGUCCUUGGCUGAUAGGCCUGGGUAAUCUUUGAACGUGAAUCGUGAUGGGGAUAGAUGAUUGCAAUUAUUCAUCUUCAACGAGGAAUUCCUAGUAAACGCAAGUCAUCAGCUUGCAUUGAUUACGUCCCUGCCCUUUGUACACACCGCCCGUCGCACCUACCGAUUGAAUGGUCCGGUGAAAUCUUCGGAUCUGAGAGAUGUCUGAUUAAUUUCUGACGCCUUUUGGAAAAGUCGCUUAAACCUUAUCAUUUAGAGGAAGGUGAAGUCGUAACA
rnacentral:rRNA from 1 species